GCCUGUUUAUCAAAAACAUGGCUCCUUGUGGUAUAAAAAUAAGGAGUCGGACCUGCCCAGUGAAUAUUUUUAACGGCCGCGGUACUCUGACCGUGCAAAGGUAGCAUAAUCAUUUGCCUUAUAAUUGAAGGCUAGUAUGAAUGGUUUGACGUAAAUGUAACUGUCUCUAUAUGAUUCUUAAGAAAUUUAUAUUUAGGUGAAGAAGCCUAAAUUAUAUUAAAAGACAAGAAGACCCUAUCGAGCUUAAAAUAAAUAAGUAGAUUAAAAUUUCAAUAUUUAUAAAAAAUCAGCUACUAAAAAUUUUGGUUGGGGCGACUGAGGAACAGAAGAAGCUUCCUUUAUAUUAAUUCCUAGCAUAUAAGCGUUGAUCCAAAACUUUUGAUUAACAAAAUUAGUUACCGUAGGGAUAACAGCAUUAUCUUUUUUGAGAGCUCUAAUCGAAAAAAAGGUUUGUGACCUCGAUGUUGGACCAGAAUAUCCUAAAGAUGCAGCAGUCUUUAAGGGUUGGUCUGUUCGACCAUUAAAAUUCUACGUGAUCUGAGUUCA
rnacentral:rRNA from 1 species